CGUGAUCCGGGUUGCGGACAGUGUCUGGUGGGUAGUUUGACUGGGGCGGUCUCCUCCUAAAGAGUAACGGAGGAGCACGAAGGUUGGCUAAUCCUGGUCGGACAUCAGGAGGUUAGUGCAAUGGCAUAAGCCAGCUUGACUGCGAGCGUGACGGCGCGAGCAGGUGCGAAAGCAGGUCAUAGUGAUCCGGUGGUUCUGAAUGGAAGGGCCAUCGCUCAACGGAUAAAAGGUACUCCGGGGAUAACAGGCUGAUACCGCCCAAGAGUUCAUAUCGACGGCGGUGUUUGGCACCUCGAUGUCGGCUCAUCACAUCCUGGGGCUGAAGUAGGUCCCAAGGGUAUGGCUGUUCGCCAUUUAAAGUGGUACGCGAGCUGGGUUUAGAACGUCGUGAGACAGUUCGGUCCCUAUCUGCCGUGGGCGCUGGAGAACUGAGGGGGGCUGCUCCUAGUACGAGAGGACCGGAGUGGACGCAUCACUGGUGUUCGGGUUGUCAUGCCAAUGGCACUGCCCGGUAGCUAAAUGCGGAAGAGAUAAGUGCUGAAAGCAUCUAAGCACGAAACUUGCCCCGAGAUGAGUUCUCCCUGACUCCUUGAGAGUCCUGAAGGAACGUUGAAGACGACGACGUUGAUAGGCCGGGUGUGUAAGCGCAGCGAUGCGUUGAGCUAACCGGUACUAAUGAACCGUGAG
rnacentral:rRNA from 1 species